rnacentral:rRNA from 1 species
UACAGAGGUCUCAAGCGUUGUUCGGAUUUAUUGGGCGUAAAGCGUGCGUAGGCGGCGUGUCAAGUCAGGCGUGAAAGCCCCGGGCUCAACCUGGGAACCGCGCUUGAGACUGGCAUGCUCGAGUUCGGGAGAGGAUGGUGGAAUUCCCAGUGUAGAGGUGAAAUUCGUAGAUAUUGGGAAGAACACCGAUGGCGAAGGCAGCCAUCUGGACCGACACUGACGCUGAGGCGCGAAAGCGUGGGGAGCAAACAGG